AGGACUACAGGUACCUACCUUUACGGCACCCGUCGCGUUCCUCGUUCUUGCUGACUUGGUAAAUUGGUGCUUCCAAUCAGUGUAUAUUCACGUACAAAUAAACUAUUGAGCAUUAUUUUUUUAUCAUUGAUAUUCGCGUCGCAAUGGUAAAGUAUUGGACCAAGACUAAAACCUUGAAUGUUUAGCAAAUUAAUGUUAUGUCUUCAUAUUAAUUUAAUUUUAAUUAGGAAUAUUUAAUUUUAUAUACAAUAGAUAAGUUUACUUUCCCUUUUUUUUACAUAUUUGAUUAUAUAUGCAUUGUUCGGGUUAAAAAAAUCAACAUGUUAAUACAUACUCCC
rnacentral:lncRNA from 1 species